CCUCGCGCGCGGCGCAGAGUCGCUGUGAUGUAUGCUCGGGAAGUUAUGGAGAGAAAGGAUACGCUUCCACAUCCUUCUCCAGUGAGAGUUUGGAGAACUGAAUAGUGAGAACUUGAAAAGUGUCUGUUACAGAGGAGGAGUUUCAGGAUGUCUUAAAUUGCAUCAAGGUGGAUAAAGCCUUGGGACCUGAUCAGGUGUAUUCCAGAAAUUUGUGGGAAGCUCGGGAAGUGAUUGCUGGGCCCCUUCCUGACAUAUUGGUAUUAUCGUUCGUGACAGAUCCCAGUGAUUAAUGCCAAAGCCCCAUUGCCUGUGGAGAGGGUGAUGUUUGACUUCCUGUACAGCUGCAAUUUGUGUGGUGAAGGUGCUGCCACAAUGUGGUUGGGGUACUGAAAGGGUGGAUUUGUGGAUGAGAAAUUCAAAUUGAGCUUUAUGUUCAGACCCGAUGGUUACUGGAUCCGUGCCGAUCUGGAUACCAUUGGCAUUUUCAUCCGGAAGGAAAGGGUGCAAGAUGGUGAAGAUUUGCAGACUGAAAUCUCAAAAUCAUAUGCAGAUUGUGAUUAUGUUAACCAGCAUUUGAAGAACCAAAGAUAGAGAAUCACUCGGCCAAAAUCCUGCACACUCUCCCUCACAGCAUUGUCUGUCUCUCUGCACCAAAUGGACUGUGAAUGGUUCAAGACAGCAGCUCACUACCAUCUUCUCCAGGGUAACGAGAUGGGGAAUAAAUGCUGGCUGAGCCAGGAAUGCCCAUAUCCUGGAAAUGGUUUCUGUCUCUAGUUGCUGAAACCCAGUUGAUGUUACUGCAGGAUGAUGAGGGAUGCUGAGUGUAUCCUCCAGGAGGCAGCACCAUCACAUUACCCCCGCCUACACCCACACAGGAACACAGCAACGUCACUGGAACAAAAGGCAGUGAAACUAAAGGAGGACUUAGAUAUAAUUCUUCGAGGUAGAGUCAUGAAAGGGGAUUGGAACACAGCAGGAACAGGAGACUGAGCUGGAUGGUCAGCUGUUUCCCAUUGAAUGGUGAGGCAGGAUUGAAAGGCUGAAUGGUCUCCUGUUGCUAUCUCCCAGGUAUGUAUAUAGCCAUGGAGCCCAGGUAGGAAGGAGUGGGCAGGGAUUCUCCAGGAGAUUGCACUUCCACAUCAGGUUUCAGUGUGGGGUGCUUUGAUGGAUUUUAUUUAACAUUUAUCUUUAAC